rnacentral:rRNA from 1 species
GAUGAACGCUGGCGGCGUGCCUAAUACAUGCAAGUCGAGCGACCAGACGAGGAGCUUGCUCCUCUUACGUUAGCGGCGGACGGGUGAGUAACACGUGGAUACCCUCCCUAUAAGACUGGGAUACCUUCGGGAAACCUGAGCUCAUCCCGGUUAAUCUCUUGAACCGCAUGGUUCAUUCGUGCUAGACGGUUUUGCUGUCACUUUUAGAUGGAUCCGCGCCGCAUUAGCUAGUUGGUAAGGGAACGGCUUACCAAGGCAACGAUGCGUAGCCGACCUGAGAGGGUGAUCGGCAACACGGGAAGUGAGAAACGGGAGAGACUCCGAAGGGAGGAAGAAGUAGGGAAUCGUACGCAAGGGGGGAAAGACGGACGGAGCAACGCCGGGGGAGUGAUGAAGGUGUUAGGAUCGGAAAACGCUGUUAGUAGGGAAGAAGAAAUGUGUAAGUAAAUAUGCAGGUCUUGACGGUAACUAAUCAGAAAGCAACGGCUAACUACGUG